rnacentral:rRNA from 1 species
AUUGAACGCUGGCGGCAUGCUUUACACAUGCAAGUCGAACGAGUGGGGAACGGGCGCGUAAUAUAUCGAAACGUACCGAGGAAUGGGGGAUAACAAAUCGAAAGAUUGGCUAAUAACGCAUAUAAUUCGAGCGGCCGAUAACUGAUUAGCUCGUUGGUGAGGUAAAGGCCUACCAAGGCGACGAUCAGUAGCGGGUCUGAGAGGACGAUCCGCCACACUGGGACUGAGACACGGCCCAGACUCCUACGGGAGGCAGCAGUAGGGAAUUUUGGACAAUGGGGGUAACCCUGAUCGAGCCAUGCCGCGUGUAUGAAGAAGGCCUUCGGGUUGUAAAGCACUUUUGUUAGGGAAGCGGUACCUAAAGAAUAAGCACCGGCUAACUACGUGCCAGCAGCCGCGGUAAUUC